GAUGAACGCUGGCGGCGUGCCUAAUACAUGCAAGUCGAGCGAAUGGAUUAAGAGCUUGCUCUUAUGAAGUUAGCGGCGGACGGGUGAGUAACACGUGGGUAACCUGCCCAUAAGACUGGGAUAACUCCGGGAAACCGGGGCUAAUACCGGAUAACAUAUUGAACCGCAUGGUUCGAAAUUGAAAGGCGGCUUCGGCUGUCACUUAUGGAUGGACCCGCGUCGCGUUAGCUAGUUGGUGAGGUAACGGCUCACCAAGGCAACGAUGCGUAGCCGACCUGAGAGGGUGAUCGGCCACACUGGGACUGAGACACGGCCCAGACUCCUACGGGAGGCAGCAGUAGGGAAUCUUCCGCAAUGGACGAAAGUCUGACGGAGCAACGCCGCGUGAGUGAUGAAGGCUUUCGGGUCGUAAAACUCUGUUGUUAGGGAAGAACAAGUGCUAGUUGAAUAAGCUGGCACCUUGACGGUACCUAACCAGAAAGCCACGGCUAACUACGUGCCAGCAGCCGCAGUAA
rnacentral:rRNA from 1 species